UUUACUUUUGGAUUUCGAAGAGGAACGGAACAUGAGUCUUGUGUCCAAUGACGAGCAGAGUAACUGUCGGUUACGAGGGGUUGCGAGGGGGAUUUUAGACUGGAAAGUGGACGUGAUGCGGGAGAGUCGGAACAUAAUUCCAAUUAGUUCGAACCGACUGUCUGCAAUACCUAUGCCACGUGGUGAACAUAUACCGGGUAAAAUUUGUCACUAGUUGUCGUAGUGAAAAACGGAGAAAUGGAAGUAAACUAGACGUGGAACGAAUUCCGAAUCAGUAGAGGAA
rnacentral:lncRNA from 1 species